ensembl:snoRNA SNORD116 Small nucleolar RNA SNORD116
GGAUUGAUCAUGACACCCCAAAAAGCUUGUCCAUUCCUUGGACAAGCUGAACAAAAUGAGUGAGAGCUCUAAACUGUCGUUCUCAUCUGACUGAGGUCC